GACGAACGCUGGCGGCGUGCCUAAUACAUGCAAGUAGAACGCUGAAGGAGGAGCUUGCUCUUCUGGAUGAGUUGCGAACGGGUGAGUAACGCGUAGGUAACCUGCCUGGUAGCGGGGGAUAACUAUUGGAAACGAUAGCUAAUACCGCAUAAUAGUAGAUGUUGCAUGACAUUUGCUUAAAAGGUGCAAUUGCAUCACUACCAGAUGGACCUGCGUUGUAUUAGCUAGUUGGUGAGGUAACGGCUCACCAAGGCAACGAUACAUAGCCGACCUGAGAGGGUGAUCGGCCACACUGGGACUGAGACACGGCCCAGA
rnacentral:rRNA from 1 species